rnacentral:rRNA from 1 species
UUAGAGUUUCAUUCUGGCUCAGGAUGAACGCUAGCGGCAGGCUUAACACAUGCAAGUCGAGGGGCAUCAGGAGUGUAGCAAUACACUUGCUGGCGACCGGCGCACGGGUGCGUAACGCGUAUGCAACCUACCUUAUACAGGGAGAUAACCUUUCGAAAGAGAGACUAAAAUCUCAUAGUAUUGAUGAGGGGCAUCCCUUAUUAAUUAAAUCUUCGGAGGUAUAAGAUGGGCAUGCGUAGCAUUAGUUAGAUGGUGAGGUAACGGCUCACCAUGACAACGAUGCUUAGGGGUUCUGAGAGGAAGGUCCCCCACACUGGUACUGAGACACGGACCAGACUCCUACGGGAGGCAGCAGUGAGGAAUAUUGGUCAAUGGUCGGAAGACUGAACCAGCCAUGCCGCGUGCAGGAAGAAUGUCUUAUGGAUUGUAAACUGCUUUUGUAUGGGAGUAAUAAUAACUUUGCGAAGUUAGAUGCAAGUACCAUACGAAUAAGGAUCGGCUAACUCCGUGCCAGCAGCCGCGGUAAUACGGAGGAUUCGAGCGUUAUCCGGAUUUAUUGGGUUUAAAGGGUGCGUAGGCGGCGAUAUAAGUCAAUGGUGAAAGACUUGAGCUUAACUCAGGCGAGCCGUUGAUACUGUAGAGCUAGAACAUAGAUGGAGCAGGCGGAAUGAAUCAUGUAGCGGUGACAUGCAUAGAUAUGAUUCAGAACACCGAUCGCGAAGGCAGCUUGCUAAGCUAUAGUUGACGCUGAGGCACGAAAGCGUGGGGAUCGAACAGGAUUAGAUACCCUGGUAGUCCACGCUGUAAAC